rnacentral:rRNA from 1 species
UUCUCGAAUUUAGAAGAGUUAUUUAUUUUAUUGUUAUAAAUAUUUUUAAUAUGUAAUGAAAUGUUAAUAUAUCUAGUUUUUUAAGAAAGUUCAAUUUGUUUAUAUUUUAAGGGAUGAGCUUUAAAUAGGAUUAGAAUUUUUGUUAUAUUUUUUCUAUUAAAAUUAGUUUUUUAAUUUUUUUUGUAAAAAUGGUUAAAUUAGUAUAAGAUAAGAAAAAGGAAUUCGGCAAAUACUUUUCACCUGUUUAUUAAAAACAUGGCCUUUUGUUAAUAAUUUAAGGUCUGACCUGCCCGCUGAGGCCGCGGUAUUUUGACCGUGCAAAGGUAGCAUAAUAAUUAGUUUUUUAAUUGAAAGCUGGAAUGAAUGGUUGAAUGAAAAAGAAACUGUCUCUUUUUUAUAGAAUUUUAUUUUUGAGUAAAAAAGCUCAAAUUUUAUUAAAAGACGAGAAGACCCUUUAGAGUUUUAUUUUGAUUGGGGCGAUUGAAAAAUUAAUUAAACUUUUGAUUAUAAGAUAAAAUUACCUUAGGGAUAACAGCGUUAUUUUUCUUAGAGUUCUAAUCGAAAGAAGAGUUUGCGACCUCGA